rnacentral:lncRNA from 1 species
CUUGGACAUAGCCUUUAGCACAGUGCCCGGGCCAGAGGACUGUGAAUGAAGCAAUUUCCUAGAUGGGCAAUGAGCACGGACCCAGAGCCAUGCCUUCUCCAAGAAUGCAAGGGGCAAUGUCACCAAGCAUAGAAGCUGGCUUCUCUCCUUUGUUUAAGGCUCUUGGCCAAAACAUCACAGAGGAAAUCCCCAGUUGCAGGAAAGUCAAGCGUGUUCCUGCGCAGCUGGGCUGAUCACACACGUGGUUAUGACACCGCUCGCUCCCCAAGCACAUUUUCCACCAUCUGUAACAGGCAAGUGCUGGCUCGGGAGGCAGGUUCUUCCUGCUCACUCAGGAGUCUCCACUAGCAAGAGACAGAGCUAUGGCCUAUGAAACCACAACCUUUCCCCUUCC